rnacentral:misc_RNA from 1 species
GUGAAUCAUCGAAUUUUUGAACGCAAAUUGCACUCUCUUCGGAGAGUAUGCCUGUUUGAGGGUCAGCCUAAAAAAAAAUCGACAUAGUCGCUGUUUCGCGGUGACAUUCGUCGGAAAUUGGGUCAUCUUAAACCUUGGGUUUUAAGCGGCUUAAAAUUUUUUUUACUGUUCCACGAACGUUUUUAAAAUUUACUCCUUCUACGUUUAAGGUAUUGGUUUUUAUUAAAC